UACGUAGGUGACAAGCGUUGUCCGGAUUUACUGGGCGUAAAGAGCGCGCAGGCGGUCGUUCAAGUCGAGUGUGAAAGCCCCCGGCUCAACUGGGGAGGGUCAUUCGAUACUGAUCGACUCGAAGGCAGGAGAGGGAAGUGGAAUUCCCGGUGUAGUGGUGAAAUGCGUAGAUAUCGAGAGGAACACCUGCGGCGAAGGCGGGUUGCUGGGCUGACACUGACGCUGAGGCGCGAAAGCCAGGGGAGCGAACGGG
rnacentral:rRNA from 1 species